rnacentral:rRNA from 1 species
UACGUAGGGUCCGAGCGUUGUCCGGAAUUACUGGGCGUAAAGAGCUCGUAGGUGGUUUGUCGCGUUGUUCGUGAAAACUCACAGCUCAACUGUGGGCGUGCGGGCGAUACGGGCAGACUUGAGUACUGCAGGGGAGACUGGAAUUCCUGGUGUAGCGGUGGAAUGCGCAGAUAUCAGGAGGAACACCGGUGGCGAAGGCGGCAUCCUGGACCGACAUUGACGCUGAGGAGCGAAAGCUAGGGGAGCAAACGGG